UACGAAGGGGGCUAGCGUUGCUCGGAAUUACUGGGCGUAAAGGGCGCGUAGGCGGCACUGUUAGUCAGGCGUGAAAGUCCUGGGCUCAACCUGGGAACUGCGCUUGAUACGGCAGAGCUAGAGGAUGGAAGAGGGUCGCGGAAUUCCCAGUGUAGAGGUGAAAUUCGUAGAUAUUGGGAAGAACACCGGUGGCGAAGGCGGCGACCUGGUCCAUUACUGACGCUGAGGCGCGACAGCGGUGGGGAGCAAACAGG
rnacentral:rRNA from 1 species